GCAGUCUGCCGGUCUGUCGCUCAAUCGUUUGAUUGAGAGGAAAGUCCGGGCAACACAGAGCGCCAUACUUCCUAACGGGAAGCUGUCUGCGAGGGCAGAGUAGCGUAACAGAAAAAAACCGUUCCGCAGAAAAACGGAAUAAGGGUGAAAAGGUGAGGUAAGAGCUCACCGGGUAUUAUAGCAAUAUAGUAUGCCGUACGCCUUAUGGGUUGUAAGAUCAUGUACACCGGCGCAUGUAGGAUGGCUCGUCCGAUGCCGGGGGGUAGAUCGCUAAAGCCUGCCGGCGACGGCAGGACGAGAUAAAUGGCAGACACUUACGCUGCAAAGCGUUAGUACAGAACCCGGCUUACAGGCAGACUGCGUUU
rnacentral:RNase_P_RNA from 1 species